rnacentral:lncRNA from 10 species
CUUUGACUUCAUAGGCAUCUGGAGAAUCUGUUGAAAUUCUAUUUGAGAAGUUCUCCAAGAGACUUCAGGGUUUUUUAUAACAUGGUGACAGACUAUAAAUAGAAAUCUGAUAAAUCCUAUGAGGUGUGUAUUUCAAGACUAAAUCCCAUGCCCUAGAAGUAUUCAAUCUUACACUAUCUUUUAACUCAUGUUACACAAUUAUAAUCAUGUGUGUAUACAUGGUACCAUAUAUCACAUAUAAUCUAUGCUCAGUAAUAAAGAAAAGCAACUAAUAAACACAUCAGAAUCCUACUUAUAUGAGAUUAUCCAAGGCAAUCAUCUGUUUUAGGACAUCAGUCUGUCUUCAUUAAAAUUAUUAAAGACACUUAUAUUCACGAGAAUUAAUUUUCACCAGUCUGAUUAGCACUCUAAUUAUUAUCACAUUUCGAAACAGAACCCAUAAUUCAGGUGUGUGGUAUUACUGAAGAUAGAAUUAUAUCAUUUUCACAAAUACAAAAAAGAGCUCUACUUAAUGCAUUUGCCCUUUGUUAUUUCCACAGAUAUUUAACUGCUUUUACUUUAAAUAUCUAAAUAUUACAAUCACUUUUUGUUUUAAAUGAUUAGAUGCACAUGUGUCUUACAAGAAAAAUGUUCUAACGGUAUCCUCUGAAGGCUAAUGGGCUAUGACUCGAGAAGUAUUGAGGUUGGAAAAACCACCUGAUGGGAAUAUUGAAGUGAAAAUUCAAGCACAAAAUGGAUGAUUGAUCUAGGUAAUAUUUAUACUUUCUCCCAACUCUGAAAUAUCACGAAUAUGAAACAAUUCUUACAAGUCUUGAACAGGGCAGAGGCAUUGGGAAUGAAAAGUAGGCAAAUGUGAGAGACUCUGUGAAGAUACUUAAUCAUUACAAUUUGGCAUUGAUUGAGUGUGGGAUGCAAAAGAAAAGGAUGAAAAAUCAAAGUUGCUUAAUGUUUUCAGCUCAAGUAACUGUGUAGCACCAUUAGCAGAAAUAAAAAAAGGAUUAAUAAUGAACAGUUUUCUUUUUUUCCUUGUUUUGAUUGUAAAGGAAUCCCCCUGAACAGGGUGACUAAAAACAGAGAAGCUAACCCAGUAGUUCCGUUUUGUUUGUUGGUGUCAGAGAUAGUUCCAAAAGGUCAGUCCAGAUGGGGCAGGAAACUCCAAUCCUCCUGACUGGACCUCUAGGGGGAGAGCCCUGAAAAGGAGACUAGUAGAAGGGAAACAGAGAAUCUGGCAAAUGGGCUAAAAUUCAGAAACAGAGGAAGAAUAGUUAAUGGAGACAAUCUGCCUCUUUGAGAAUUGAUACAAGAAUGAGGACAGGCUUGUUCCUUCAAGGAGCUAGGGAAGGCAGUGGCAGAGUAUAUGAGAUUUAAGCUAACACCAAAAAACUCAGAAUAGACUUUGCAUGCUCAAUGGAGCCAGUCUUGGUGAAGAAUGCCAUAAAGAAAAUAGCAUUUGAGAAAACUCAAGAGGAAAACUAGAAGCAGAGAGAAACCCAGGAAAGUAGUACAUACAUCUAUUCAGAAAGUAGUAUGGAACUGGGUAUUACUGGUUUGUUCAAUGCUGUCCUUGAAACACUAAUCGUUUGGUACAUUUUUUCAAGCAAGAAAUCUAUAACAAUGAAUUUACACACUCAUUACUUUUUUUUUUUUUUUUUUUUUUUUUUUGAUGCAGGGUCUCACUCUUGUCACCAAGGCUGGAGUGCAGUGGUGUGAUCAUGGCUCACUGCAGCCUCAACUUCCCAGGCCCAAGUGAUCCUCCCACCUCAGCCUCCCAAGUAGCUAGGACUACAGGCUCAUGCCACCAUGCCACCAUUCCACCAUACCCGGCUAAUUUUUUCUUUCCUUUUUUUUUUUUCGUAGAGACAGGGUUUCAGCAUGUUGCCCAGGCUGGUCUCAAACUCCUGGGCCCAAGCGACCCACUUGCCUCGGCCUCCCAAAGUGCUGGGAUUACAGUUGUGAACCACCAUGCCCAGCUGACAUGCAGUAUUUUGAAGUGUUGCGUGAUAUAUGAUCUAUUACUAUGAUGCCUAAUUAACCCUUAUUUUAACUCUGUUCUUAUCUUAAUGCUGAAUCUAUCUAUAAUGAGCUCUGUUGGGCCAGAUUUAGUAGUUGUCAAAGUAUAUUCUAGGAACUGAAACAUCAUUAGCAUCCUCUGAGCUCUUGUUAGAAAUUCACAUCUUCAAAGGCUGUCCCAAAUUUACUGAAACAGAAACCCUGAGGAUAAAGGCCACCAAUCUGGUUUUUAACCUUCCAGGUGAUUCUAAUGCAUUCUGAAGUUUGCAAACCAUUCCCUUGGGCAUUUCAGAACUAGACCUCUUCAGAGAUCCAGCUGAGAUCAGUGUGAUAGGCCAGGGUCUAUCUAGAAUGGUCCACUAGAAGUCGCAGGGGUUUACAGCUAGGCAGGGCUGGACUCCAACUAGGGUUCCAGUGAGAGGUGACAGCGUGCUGGCAGUCCUCACAGCCCUCGCUUGCUCUCCGCACCUCCUCUGCGUGGGCUCCCACUUUGGCGGCACUUGAGGAGCCCUUCAACUCGCCGCUGCACUGUGGGAGCCCCUUUCUGGGCUGGCCAAGGCUGGAGCCGGCUCCCUCAGCUUGCGGGGAGGGGUGGAGGGAGAGGUGCGGGCGGGAACUGGGGCAGCGGGUGGUGCUUGCGGGCCAGCGCGAGUUCCGGGUGGGCGUAGGCUCGGUGGACCCCGCACUCAAAGCGGCCGGCCAGCCCCACCGGCCCUGGCAGUGAGGGGCUUAGCACCUGGGCCAGCAGCUGCUGUGCUCAAUUUCUCCCGGGCCUUAGCUGCCUUCCCGCGGGGCAGGGCUCGGGACCUGCAGCCUGCCAUGCCUGAGCCUCCCCCCGGCUCCGUGGGCUCCUGUGCGGCCUGAGCCUCCCCGACGAGUGCCACCCCCUGCUCCACAGCGCCCAGUCCCAUCGACCACCCAAGGGCUGAGGAGUGUGGGCACACGGCGUGGGACAGGCAGGCAGCUCCACCUGCAGCCAGGGUGCGGGAUCCACUGGGGGAAGCCAGCUGGGCUCCUGAGUCUGGUGGGGACGUGGAGAACCUUUAUGUCUAGCUCAGGGAUUGUAAAUACACCAAUCUGCACUCUGUAUCUAGCUCAAGGUUUGUAAACACACCAAUCAGCACCCUGUGUUUACCUCAGGGUUUGUGAAUGCACCAAUUGACACUCUGUAUCUAGCUACUCUGGUGGGGACUUGGAGAACCUUUGUGUUCCACACUCUGUAUCUAGCUAAUCUGGUGGGGACGUGGAGAACCUUUGUGUCUAGCUCAGGGAUUGUAAACGCACCAAUCAGUGCCCUGUCAAAACAGACCACUCGGCUCUACCAAUCAGCAGGAUGUGGGUGGGGCCAGAUAAGAGAAUAAAAGCAGGCUGUCCAAGCCAGCAGCGGCAAGCCACUCAGGUCCCUUUCCACACUGUGGCAGCUUAGUUCUUUCUCUCUUUGCAAUAAAUCUUGCUGCUGCUCACUCUGGGUCCACAGUGCCUUUAUGAGCUGUAACACUCACCGCGAAGGUCUGCAGCUUCACUCCUGAGCCAGCGAGACCACGAACCCACCAGAAGGAAGAAACUCGGAACACAUCCGAACAUCAAAAGGAACAAACUCCAGACAUGCCGCCUUUAAUAACUGUAACACUCACCGCGAGGGUCCGCGGCUUCAUUCUUGAAGUCAGUGAGACCAAGAACCCACCAACCAAUUCCAGACACACUAGCACCUGUUAGUUGUGUAGGUUCUUGAGCAAAUUACUUCCCUUCUUUGAACCUCAGGUUCCUCAUACAGAAAAUGGAAAUGUCUACCUUUAAAGGUUGCUAUGCACAGUGAAGUUUAUGUACCUCCAUGGUAAUUAGGAGUGCCAGCUCUGGUGUCAUGCCCAGUUCAAAUGCCAGCUACUGUGUGAUCUUGGGCAAAUUACUAAACUUCUUUGUUCUUCAAGUUUCUCGUCUGUAAAGUGAGUAUACUUAACUCAUAGCGUGGUGGUGAGAAUUCAAUGAGUUAACAUACAUAUAUUGCAUACAUACAUUAUCUAUAUAAAGUAUUUUUUUUAUUAUUAUUUGUAUUUCUGCUAUUAUAGAAUUUUUUCCUGUAAAGUAUAAGGUUAUAAAAGGUUCCAAUACAUGGAUAUUGCCUCAUACUUUCAUAUAUUCUUUACAUUCUAAUGUCUUGCCUCCCCUCUGAAUAACCUCUGUGGAUUAUAUCAAUAUCAAUUUCCUUGUUUUGAUAAUGUAGUACAGUUAUACAAGAUGAUACCAUUGGGAGAGACUCAGUAGAGGACAUAUGGGAUCUCCUUGUACAUUUUUUUGGAACUCCUGUGAAUCUGUAAUUAGUUUAAAAUAAAAAGUUUAAACAACAAAAAAAGAUAGGGGUAGAGAGCUUGUCUGAAAUGAGACUAUUGGGCCUGGAGGCUGGGCCUAUAAUUCUGUUUUUCUCCAAUUAAAUAGUUAAAAUUAACUUAAAAAAAAAAACCUAAAGAAAAACUAGAUUCAUCCCUCUCAAUCAAAUUAACAUCAAUGGUUAGCCUUUUAAUUUAUCAUCUUUUACCAGGGGCUUCAGUCAAAAUUAUCUGCCUAUAAUAGCAGAAAUAGAAAUAACAAUAAUAAUUUUAAAAGAAAACACUUUGCAUAGAUAAAACACCUAGACCUAGAACAUGGUAGGUGUUCAAUAUUUGGUAACAAUUGUUUCUCCAGGCUCCCCAAGUUAUAAGUCAGAAAAGUCUGGCAAUGAAAAUGAAUGAAUGAAGUCCCUACUACCUGAUCAACUUUGUUUUCCAGAGAAAAUAAAGGUAUAUUACCAAAGGCUUAAUAUUUUUCUCUCAAAAAAGCAGCAGUCCAACUGUAACAAAAACAAUUAUAUUUUAGUAAGAUUUAGCAACAUAUAAAAUUCCUGAGGCUGGGCGCAGUACCAUGCCUGUAAUCCUAGCACUUUGGGAGGCCGAGGUGGGUGGAUCACAAGGUCAGGAGUUCAAGACCAGCCUGACCAACAUGUUAAAACCCCGUCUCUACUAAAAAUACAAAAAUUAGCCGGGUGUGGUGGCGAGUGCCUGUAAUCGCAGCUACAUGGGAGACUGAGGCAGG